CUUGGACAGACCAGUCUUGAGUUGGUAACAAACGUUCGAUGCACAUUUGGACACUUGGAAGGUGGCACUGGGGACACAUGGACAAGUGGAUGAAUCAGCUAUUCAUUUGCAAAGGGAGAGAAUAAACGCCACGCGGUGGGAUUCUAUUGGUUGUUAAGAGUAGCUAGGGUGAGGUGGCUGGAGUGGAGCAAGCAUCUCUGCAAAUAAAAUUUUUAAAAUAAAUAAAUAAAUAAAUAAAUAAACAAAAACAAUGAAAGAGAUACAUCACAGGGUGAAAUUAGACCAUGGAAAGCAAAACGGUACCUGUUGAGAGGAGAAAAUAAUAGUAAAAGGGACAUGAGAUAUCAUAGCAAUUAGCAAGUGUGAUGCUCAUUUCCAUCCAAAGAGCAAAGAGAGACAGGAGGUAAAACGUGCAAAGGAAAACCAGAGCAUGGCCAGGGGAUGUCUACAUUGCAUGCCUAACCAAUCCAAAAAUGUUCCGACCAUCGACUGUACUUUUGUGGUGCAAAAACAACGUCUCUUUGCUUUAUCAAUCAGGCCGGAUUGGAUAAUAUGGAUGCGAUUAAAACUGCUUUAUUGCUCGGGGCUAUUGACCUUGAAAUUGGAGGGAUUGCUAUCUCUGGAAGUCGAGCAACAGCCAAGACAGUGAUGGCUCGUGGCCUACAUGCAAUUUCGCCGCCCAUAGAUGUGGUUGUUGGUUCAAUUUCAAAUGUAGAUCCAGCAUGUCCUGAGGAGUAAGAAUGAUGAGUUCUUACUGUUGAUUUUGUAAUAUCAGCAAUUGAUGUAAUCCUAUUUAUGAAUGACCAUAAAAUGACUGUGUCAUGAGUCAUCUGUUUUCUACUCUCAUGCCAAAGUGAUUGAAAGGGUAGAGCAGGUUUUGCA